ACCCUCUCUGAGUUUCACCUGGAGAGUUUCUGGUACUCUACCAGCCUCGACUAUGGGAGGGAGAGUCAAGCAGAGGCCUACCCAUUCCAUUUCUAGCUUGGGCAGUGGCUAGCGAGUGACAGACAAUCUGUUACAAGU